rnacentral:rRNA from 1 species
AUUGAACGCUGGCGGCAGGCCUAACACAUGCAAGUCGAGCGGAUGAAGGGAGCUUUCUCCUGGAUUCAGCGGCGGACGGGUGGGUAAGGCCUAGGAAUCUGCCUGGUAGUUGGGGAUAACGUCCGGAAACGGGCGCUAAUACCGCAUACGUCCUGAGGGUGAAAGGGGGGGAUCUUCGGACCUCACGCUAUCAGAUGAGCCUAGGUCGGAUUAGCUAGUUGGUUGGGUAAAGGCCUACCAAGGCGACGAUCCGUAACUGGUCUGAGAGGAUGAUCAGUCACACUGGAACUGAGACACGGUCCAGACUCCUACGGGAGGCAGCAGUGGGGAAUAUUGGACAAUGGGCGAAAGCCUGAUCCAGCCAUGCCGCGUGUGUGAAGAAGGUCUUCGGAUUGUAAAGCACUUUAAGUUGGGAGGAAGGGCAGUAAGUUAAUACCUUGCUGUUUUGACGUUACCAACAGAAUAAGCACCGGCUAACUUCGUG